AACGAACGCUGGCGGCAUGCCUAACACAUGCAAGUCGAACGAGACCUUCGGGUCUAUUGGCGCACGGGUGCGUAACGCGUGGUAACCUGCCCUUAGGUUCCGAAUCACUCCCCGAAGGGUGUCCUAAUACCGGAUAAUGUCUUCGGGCCUAAGAUUUCGGGCCUUGUGAUGGGCCCUCGUUGGUUUAGCUAGUUGGUAGGGUAAAAGCCUACCAAGGCGAAGAUCCAUAGUUGGUGUGAGAGGAUGCUCAGCCGCACUGGGAUUGGGACCAGGCCCAGACGGCUACGGGAAGUAGCAGUGGGGAAUAUUGGACAGUGGGCGAAAGCCUGAACCGGCACUGCCGGGUGAGUGAUGAAGGCGUUAGGGUUGUAAAGCUCUUGUAACCGGGAGUAUAAGGAGAGUAUCGGGAGAAUAAGCCCCGGCUACUUCCGG
rnacentral:rRNA from 1 species